rfam:Pacificibacter marinus strain CECT 7971 genome assembly, contig: 0003
AGAUCGGGAGCCAUCGGUGGGACGAUGGCAGGAAUAGAUCGAACUCCUCUGUUUCGUAAGGGUACAUCGGCCGGCGCCCACCGGCAGGAUGCA